GCGGAGGAAAAGAAACCAACAGGGAUUGCUCUAGUAACGGCGAGUGAAGCAGCAAUAGCUCAAAUUUGAAAUCUGGCGUCUUCGGCGUCCGAGUUGUAAUUUGUAGAGGAUGCUUCUGGGCAGCCACCGACCUAAGUUCCUUGGAACAGGACGUCAUAGAGGGUGAGAAUCCCGUAUGCGGUCGGAAAGGCACCCUACACGUAGCUCCUUCGACGAGUCGAGUUGUUUGGGAAUGCAGCUCUAAAUGGGAGGUAAAUUUCUUCUAAAGCUAAAUAUUGGCCAGAGACCGAUAGCGCACAAGUAGAGUGAUCGAAAGAUGAAAAGCACUUUGGAAAGAGAGUUAAAAAGCACGUGAAAUUGUUGAAAGGGAAGGGAUUGCAACCAGACUUGCUCGCGGUGUUCCGCCGGUCUUCUGACCGGUCUACUCGCCGCGUUGCAGGCCAGCAUCGUCUGGUGCCGCUGGAUAAGACUUGAGGAAUGUAGCUCCCUCGGGAGUGUUAUAGCCUCUUGUGAUGCAGCGAGCGCCGGGCGAGGUCCGCGCUUCGGCUAGGAUGCUGGCGUAAUGGUUGUAAUCCGCCCGUCUUGAAACACGGACCAAGGAGUCUAACAUCUAUGCGAGUGUUCGGGUGUCAAACCCCUACGCGUAAUGAAAGUGAACGGAGGUGAGAACCGCAAGGUGCAUCAUCGACCGAUCCUGAUGUCUUCGGAUGGAUUUGAGUAUGAGCAUAGCUGUUGGGACCCGAAAGAUGGUGAACUAUGCCUGAAUAGGGUGAAGCCAGAGGAAACUCUGGUGGAGGCUCGCAGCGGUUCUGACGUGCAAAUCGAUCGUCAAAUUUGGGUAUAGGGGCGAAAGACUAAUCGAACCAUCUAGUAG
rnacentral:rRNA from 1 species